ACCCAAUACUUUUUUUCCCCAAAAAGAAGCCAUUCAACGCUGUUUCAACUUUCCAACAUCAAAAUCUCAGAAACUCACGGCGUAAAGCAACGACAACACGCGUAGCGACCACCAAACCUCCAUAUUCUUGGACGCGCCUCGUCACUGUCACGCGGCGUCAACUUCGACGGCGAUAGACGGAAAAGUAGCGAGGGGGCAGAAGCCUAUGCGCUCAAUUUUGUCUUCUUCCUCCGCGUUCUUCUCUGUUUCGUACGAUUUCCAGCAGCGUACAGCCUUCGAAUCGUCCUUCAUCCUCCAGGUGUCGCAAUCCCAAGCCGCCUUUGUCCUUGCCUCGAGAUUGAACGGUUCCCCUGUUUUUCCUGUUGCAUUUGUGAGAAUAGAUGAAUUCGUACGGUAGGCUCUUAUCUAUUAAGAGUACGGUAGGCUCUUAUCAAUUAAGAGUUUGACUUUUGAAAGGGAAUGGAGAUUUUUUCAUUUUUUCCCUCCGCUUUUCCCCUCAUAUUCAACCCUGAUUUUCUAGUAUAUAAUAUCCUUUUAUUUACCGUCAAGGGGGUCUUUUUUUUGGUAUUCUGGAAUUCUUAGAGAAAAAGUGCAGAAAAAUAGAGAACAAUAUUAAUAUUUUCGUUAAGGAAUACAGUAAGAUUUCGAAGCGGGGGAUGGUUUUGGAGUUGAUUUCCGUGAGAUAUUAGCUUAAGGAGUCCGAUUUUGGAGUCGACACGAGUAUUUCCGAUACUCUGCUUUCCCUAAGCUUGAAGAUCUAGAGCUUUUCUCUUGGUGUGAAGUCGUGGUAUAUUCCUCGCUCUCCGUCUCUGUUUGCUGCUUCGGAAUAGGGCAAAUUCCAUAUUUGGCGAUCUCAAGGUUGGAGCAUGUUCAUCCGUUCUUUUCCGGCGUUUGAACUAGUUUGACCUUAGUCUUGUACAGGCUCCGGAGUUUGAAGAAUUGAAGAGCAAGAGAUUGGGCCUUGAAAGCCCAAAUUUUAUUUUCAGAAAUUUGUAUUCCGUUGUUGUAGGGCCUAAUCCCAUGUAAUUAUUUUAGGGAAAAUUAGCAAACUAGUCAAAAUUAAUAACUUAAUUAGUAAAAACUUUACUACUUUAAAAAUAUUAGUAAAAAUGUCACAAAUGUCAUUAUUUUGAAAAAGAAUAUGUAUCCUAAUUAAAUUCUAUUUUAUCUCUUAUUACCUACACAUUUUCCAAUUAAUUAUAUAUAUAUAUAUAUAAAUUAUUUUACUUAACCUUUCCAUGUAUAUCUCAUAGAUCACUUUUCCCAACUAUCCCAUUCACGUUUCCCCGUAACUCUCUCUUCCAAAUUUAUCUUAAUGUAAAAAAAAAGAAGUUUUAUCUCUUCCAUAUCCUCCUUUCAUGUUCUCUUCAAACCUUGAAAUCCCUAUUUUAUCUUCUACCAAUAUUUAUCUUAUCUUCUAUCGUUUUAUUUGUUUGUUUUUAAUUUUCAAAUACUGGAUUCACACAAAUUCCACUAAUCUUUUUUUUUCCUGAUUUUAUUGCUUCUAAAUCAUUCAUAUUUGGUGAAAGUUGGAUAAUUCACAAUUAGACCUCUAAAACACUCUUCAAUGGAUUAUUCUAAGAGAGUUACUAGAGAUAUUCACCUUAAUCAUCAGAUUUCUAGUAAUUUUCCAUCUUUUAAUCUAUGUAUUACUAAAGAAAUAGCGGAUCUGCUUCUAAAAUGAUGAAGGAGAGACGAUCAGAACAAAGUCUUCCUCAAAUUCAGAUUGAAACCGUAAUAGUUGAUGAAGAGGUAUUUAAUUAUUUUUGCAUGUUGAGUUGAAGUUAAAGAACAAUUUGUUCAAUAAUUUGUAUUGAAUAUAUUGUAAAUGUCUUAUGUAUAAUGUGUAAUAUUUGUUAGUUUGUAUUUUGUAUUUCCGUUGCUUUUUAAUGAAUUUUAAUUGGAUUGUUUGUAUUUACUGUGCUGUAUUUCUUGGAUUUGUGUUGUAUGCUAUAUAAUUUUCG